CAGUCGCCGCGGGAAUACAGAGGGUGCGAGCGUUAAUCGGAUUUACUGGGCGUAAAGCGUGCGUAGGCGGCUUCUUAAGUUGGAUGUGAAAUCCCUGAGCUUAACUUAGGAAUUGCAUUCGAUACUGGGAAGCUAGAGUAUGGGAGAGGAUGGUAGAAUUCCAGGUGUAGCGGUGAAAUGCGUAGAGAUCUGGAGGAAUACCGAUGGCGAAGGCAGCCAUCUGGCCUAAUACUGACGCUGAGGUACGAAAGCAUGGGGAGCAAACAGGAUUAGAGACCCCUGUAGUCCCUGUCUCUUAUAC
rnacentral:rRNA from 1 species